rfam:Erythrobacter litoralis HTCC2594, complete genome.
GCACCCGUAGCUCAGCUGGAUAGAGCGCUGCCCUCCGAAGGCAGAGGUCACAGGUUCGAAUCCUGUCGGGUGCG